rnacentral:rRNA from 1 species
CAGGAUAGACAGGGCGCAACUUCGUAGCUCGCACGGGUGCGGUUCGUUCCGGGUUCUGUCAGGUAGGGAGUAAGGCUUAGGAGAGUGGGAGGAACGCCCGCUACGAUUGGGAUCUCGGCGGCCGCCGGCGGCGGUGAAGCGGACGGUCGCCGAGGCUGGUACUGAAGGUCGAAGAGGGCGGUAGUCGCGGGGAAGGGGUCUUCCAGAGGAGGAACCGGGAGCCUAAUUAGAGGGCGAGGGCGAGGGCGGCCCAGGGAGUACUUAGCACUUUGCCGCGCUCGCCCAGGCGCCACUUCCGUGGCUCCGACGUAGGUGACGGCACGUACGGCGGGCCACGUCCUAGGAGUCCCUGCACCUCCUCGUACCACCUCAUGUUGCCGUUCCCACCCCACCUUCCUCUGCGGGACUCGUAAAAAAAAACCUGCGGCACUCGUACCUUACUGGAAUGACGAGGUAGAGGUUGUAUUGAGGUCGACGAUAACGGUCAAACCAGAAGAGAAGAUGUAACUAGGCAAAUCUAGGGUUGAUUAGUUCUCUAUACUCCUGUCCCUCCUACUUCCUCGGCGUCAACAUUCACGAUGCCGCCCGCUCGUCCCUACGUUGACCUCUAACCAGUCUCUGACGUUGUAUAACAAUCGAAGUACUCCAACCCUCGUUGACCUAGAUCUGGAGGGGCGUUGACUGAUCUUUUCACAACUGCUACAAGAGACUUGAGACUAGAGAGAGGGUACAAAAGUCUGUUGUUACUAGUCAUCAGGAACCGUGUUAAAAUGAAGAGAUAAACGUCAGAUUUUCGAACCCCUUUUUUACCCCCGGUACUUAUGGGCGUAACGAGAGUAUAGUACAGGUACUUACUUUUUCCCAUGUAUCACGGUAGUAACAAGUAGGAGAUGGAAACAACGCUCGCAACAGACUUAGUUGAAUUUUAAUCGACUGUUUUUCCGAAGUACAGAUCAAAAAGUGGUCGGAAGUGGAGACACGUCAAAAGAACCGUACCCUAGACCUCCAGAUCUUAUCCUACGAAUAUAUAUAAUGGUUGAAAACAAAUACAAAGACACUCGGUACUCACCUGCGUGCGCUACCCACCAGAUCGUGUCUUGACUAAACGAUGAAGUACUACUCGUCCUUUACUAAACGACGAAGCACUACUCUUCUAACUCACCUGUCUACUAGGCGUCCUACAAGUUCCAACUCCAAUGACACCAAACACUAAGCCAGUACAGGGCUCUGACUCUUGCCGAUCGACGUGUUUCCUUAGUCCACACCUCAAUUACCCACUGCUAGUAGUCAUCUUCAAAAUGAUUUUAUAACAGUGUGAAUUUUGGAUAUCAAAUGAUUUCGAUUGUGACAGUAUAGUCUUUUUUUUAUGUCAAAUUACAUUUUCGUGACAACCUCUGUGCGUACAAGGUCAAAUCACAUUUACUAUACAAACACGUCCGUUGUGAGAAAAUUCACCUUUAAACUUCCCUUUUGGUCGUAAGCGUUUCACCAAGUCAAGUUCUCUUCCAACCUUGAGCUC